UUGUUACGGCUGCAAAUAUACUACAAUUGGAUCAAUACAGAGACAAUUAGCAUGGCCCUUGCAAAAGGAUGACACACAAAUCCGUGAAACCCUCCAGAUUUUG
ensembl:snRNA U6 U6 spliceosomal RNA